rnacentral:tRNA from 1 species
CGUAGCGCAGCUAGGCCAGCGCGCCUGUCCUGGGAGCAGGAGGCCGGUGGUUCGAAUCCACCCG